CUGGGGCCUGGGCGACGGCGGCACCGACGGCCUCGGGGAUGCCGGGUUCGGCGAGCUCGACGAACCCCAGUUCCACCGGGAUACCAGGC
rnacentral:tRNA from 3 species